rnacentral:rRNA from 1 species
AAUCAACGCUGGCGGCGUGCCUCAGACAUGCAAGUCGAACGCGAAAGUCCCCUUUCGGGGGGCAAGUAGAGUGGCGCACGGGUGAGUAACACGUAGGUAAUCUACCUUUGGAUUGGGAAUAACCACCGGAAACGGUGGCUAAUACCGAAUAAUGCAGCGGCACCUAAUGGUGACAGUUGUUAAAGCGGGGGAUCGCAAGACCUCGCGUCUGAAGAGGAGCCUGCGGCGGAUUAGCUAGUUGGUAAGGUAACGGCUUACCAAGGCGAUGAUCCGUAGCCGGCCUGAGAGGGCGGUCGGCCACACUGACACUGACAUACGGGUCAGACUCCUACGGGAGGCAGCAGUCGGGAAUUUUGGGCAAUGGGCGAAAGCCUGACCCAGCAACGCCGCGUGAAGGAUGAAAUCCCUCGGGAUGUAAACUUCGCAAGAACGGGAAGAAUAAGUAAGGGUUAAUAUCUCUUACGAUGACGGUACUGCUUGUAAGCUCCGGCUAACUCCGUGCCAGCAGCCGCGGUAAUACGGGGGGAGCAAGCGUUGUUCGGAUUUACUGGGCGUAAAGGGCGCGUAGGCGGCACUGCAAGUCGACUGUGAAAUCUCCGGGCUUAACCCGGAAAGGUCAGCCGAUACUGCGGGGCUAGAGUGCAGAAGGGGCAACUGGAAUUCUCGGUGUAGCGGUGAAAUGCGUAGAUAUCGAGAGGAACACCUGCGGCGAAGGCGGGUUGCUGGGCUGACACUGACGCUGAUGCGCGAAAGCUAGGGGAGCGAACGGGAUUAGAUACCCCGGUAGUCCUAGCCUUAAACGAUGAAUGCUUGGUGUCUGGGGUUUUAUAGUCCCCGGGUGCCGUCGCUAACGCUUUAAGCAUUCCGCCUGGGGAGUACGGUCGCAAGGCUG